AGUUUGUGAUGUGGAAAAUUCCUUAGCAUUAUCUUCAAACGAUCCCAUGCCUCGUAUAGGGAUUCAACUUCAAAUUAUUUAAAAUUGGUGAUUUUUAGUCUCAAUU
rfam:Gossypium raimondii Chr07_contig_702, whole genome shotgun sequence.